CGCAAAGUGUGCUUUAGACAUGUUUUCAUCAAGUUAUUAACUGAUUAAAUACUUAAUAAUCGAACAAUUAUCAAGAAUAGUUUAUGUAGGUAGUAGUCAAUUCAGUGUUGCACGAGGCCAAUUCGAAGAGAUUUAGAUCACUUUUGUUUGGCACUUGUUGAGAGACGCGUGCGUGUGUCUCGCGCGUGAAGAACACUUUCUCCGUGUGCGCUGAGGCACGGGGCACCCUCCGAAGACGAGAGUCAGGCGAGCACUGCGAAUUGGCAUGCGAGCGAGCGCCGUGGUGGCCGGCCGCGAGGGGGGCUCGACUAUUAGCAUAAUGGUGCGCGGCAUGCAGCGCGCGGACUGGACGCGGACGGCGUGACCCAAGCCGCCGAUAGCGCCCGGAGAGGAUGUGGGUUAUCUCUUCAGCUGCCGAAACACCGGCACAUGCUCUACACGCCACAGCAUUCAUAGAGAAGUACAGAAAAUGUAAAAACUAGAAAUUGACUUACAUGGCAACACAACACCUGGAACAAAAUUGUUCAGAACAUAUACUGCAGCUUUUUAUACACUCUGGACACAAGGACACCUCACAAAACCAGCAAUUCCCUUGGAUGAAUUUAAUAUCAUUGCAUUCCACACACAAUCGAUGAGCAGGAGCAUUUGCAUCGGAGAGUGCCACCCCUGUUGGUGAUAACACAUUGUUGUUAUUCAUACCGGCAAAGAGUAAACUUAGGGUUUUAUCUGCGAAUUAAUAUAAUUAGACAUAACAAUUGCAAUCGCAUGCGUUGUUUACACUUGAUGAUGAUAUCUUCAACGAUCCUGUAAGUAAUUCAACAUUCAUUAUUUAACAGUCAUUUUUAAUCAUUCUCAAACUUACGUUUUAUCACCGGGGUUUUCAAGUCGUGGAAUGGCGGCCAAAGCUUCAUCAAAAUAAAAUUUCGCUUCCGAUGUUAAAUAUCCUUGGAAAACCUCGCGUAACAUUCGAAUAUCCGCCGUGGCUUGUUGAAUGCCUGCCGUGCUGAAAUUCCGCACGCAAUCCAUCAAUCUAUACAAUUCCUCAGCGAUUGUCUGCACAACUUGUGGUAAAACACUGUCUACCAACGCAGGCGAGAUACAAUUCACCUCACAAUGCACAUGUAUCAAAUUAUUUAUGCAUUCUUUCGCGUACGGACGAAUAUCUUUCGGUGUAAUAUUCGUAUCCCAAUCAAAACGUUCCAAAUACAUCGACGGUUCAAUAGUUCCCACAAGCGGAUCACUUUUUUCUUCUAAAUAAUACUCCAGGACAGAUUUCUCCAAUGAUUCUAACUUAGAUGCGCAGUUUUCAAAUGCUUGCUUUGGAACAGGAUAACCACUCUUCGCGAAACUCUCUUCUAAAUUUUUCAGAACAACUUGUCGAGUAUACUGACAAUUAGCCAAUGAAGUAAGUAAUCGUUUCUCCCACGUUGGCAGUGUUUUCUUGUUGGCGUUGUUUCGAUAAUUCGCAGGUGUACCAAUAAGUUGCGACACCACCGGCGAAGAAUCGUCAUCUUCGUUCUCUUCUUUCGCAGCUAAAUUCGCUAAAACCUUGUGGAAUACUCCCAAUAAUGCGUCGACUUGAUUAUCAAGCUCUUUAUGCGCUGUGGGGUUAUCCAACAAUGAACCUUCGCGUUGUUCACUUGUCAACACAGAUUCCCUGAUUAUUUGGAUCACUUCCUGCACGGCCUGCUCGAAUUUAAUCGGUAAUUCAGUAAUACCAUUGUGUUUGCCAUUGAAUUCAAUCCGCCAUGUUUCUUGCUUCGACAACUGUUCAAUUUGUUCCGCGGCUUGUUUAAAUAGAAUAUUCAUACAGUAAAUCCUCAAAUCAAGUAUAAAUGUGAAUACAAUAUCCAGCGCUUCAUUGGGUAAGUCCAACUUAAUCAAAAUGGCGUAGGUUGCACGCACGUGACGUAAGCAAGCCGGCAGCCACGGUUUUACAAGUUCUGUAUCACUCUGCGCCCAUGAUCCGAACGUUGCUUUGUCAUAGUUUUUAUCUAAAGUAUGUGGAAUAAUUGCAGCGCGUAAUGUUUUGCAAAACAUCUCCAUAAUUGCAAGCACAAUGUGUUUGAACUCCACUUGUCUGCCAGGUUCUAUUUUUACGUGUAAUUCGCCAGUGAAGUAACUCUGACCAAGUUUCCAUAGAUUAGGGAAUAAUUGCGAGACAAUUUCGCAUAGAUCUUCAACGAAUAAGACAGAUUCCGGCACUCCUGUCAUAUCUUGUGGCGUGUUAUUGAAUUUUGCGAAUUUAUUACCACUGCCUUUUAUUUUACUCUCAUCCAGGGUGGCUUCUUCGGCGUGUUUAUGCUCUGUGUAGCAUUCUUUAACGCGUUUGUUUAAAUAAUCGUUGUGGCUUUGUAUAGCGUCCCAUGCUGGUUCAUAGGCUGCUUCCAGGUUAACCAAAUGCCGAAUGAGGCGUUUUUGUUCUUCGACUGAGAUUGGCAUGCGUGUUAGUUUGCUGUGCAACAUUUCUUGGAGCAAAGCAACACGUCGUUCAAUUUCUACCAGCGCCAUUUUGAAUAUAGGCACGUCACUCUUAUUAAAUAGAUUUUUAACGCGCAUGUAGUCAUUGAUAACGAUAUCGUAGUCGCCUUUCUUUAUAUUGCGUUCGAUUACGCAGGGUAAACAGAAGAGAAAACGGAAACGUGAUAGGACAUUCAGUGCGUUUCGGGUCUUCUCAGCGCGAUCACGACGUGUUAAGACAUCAUCGAAUAGUUUUCUUGCUUCACGUUCCGAUUCUGAAUAAAAAUAUAUUUGUUUUAUAAAAUUAAGUAAAUUUUGAGUGUUUACAAACCUUUGAUUGCUUUUUCCAGUGUUAAAGUUGGUUCUGGUCCUUGUAUUCUUGCAUCUUUUUUGAAUUUCUCAUCCAGGAUCAUUGUAGUGUCCAAUUGGUCAAUGACAGAUGAAAUAUUUGCUUUUAGAAAAGAUAAUUGUCCUUCUUUCUGCCCAUCUACCUUCCUCCUUAGAUGUACCAUACUAAAAUAAACAAAAUAAUUAUUAUUUUCUUAAA